GAUGAAGAACGUAGCAAAAUGCGAUAAGUAAUGUGAAUUGCAGAAUUCAGUGAAUCAUCGAAUCUUUGAACGCACAUUGCGCCCGCCAGUAUUCUGGCGGGCAUGCCUGUUCGAGCGUCAUUUCAACCCUCAGGCCCCCAGUGCCUGGCGUUGGGGAUCGGCGCGGCGCCCUCCGGGGCGCUGCCGGCCCCGAAAUUCAGUGGCGGUCUCGCUGUAGCCCUCCUCCGCGUAGUAGCACAACCUCGCGGCCUGGAGCUCGGCGGUGGCCAUGCCGUAAAACACCCCACUUCUGAAAGUUGACCUCGGAUCAGGUAGGAAUACCCGCUGAACUUAAGCAUAUCAAUAAGCGGAGGA
rnacentral:misc_RNA from 1 species